ACAUUUUUUCAUAUGAUCAGUUUGGUUUCUUUAUCUGAAAAUUACUUGUUCAUAUCCUUUGAGGGUCAUAGGAGGAGACCCUAGAGACCCUCUAAGGCAAACUUCACCAUUUUCCAGGUGAGGAAGAAAAUGAUCUGCACAAGAUCUCAAGGGUCAAAAUAGCAGAGACAGAAUUAAAACCCAGGUCCAAGCCCCUUUCCCCUAUAUCAUGCUGCCUCUGACUCCCCAAAUCUUCCUACUCCCAUACCAAGAUGAGGAUACUAAUCUGAGCAUUCAUCUGGAUGAACUUUUCAAAUAAUGGUGGCACUCAAUGAUCCACACUCCUCAGGAAUGCAGAUGAAAUCAUAUGAUUUUUCACUUGUUUAUUUGGGUAUAUGUUUUGGGGUUUGGGUUUUAUAGGAUUAAUCAUUUGGGGGAAACUGGGUGGCUCAAUGGAUUGAAAGCCAGGCCUAGAGAUGGGAGGUCCUGGGAUCAAAUCUGAUCUCAGAUACUUCCUAGCUGUGUGACCCUGGGCAAGUCACUUUACCCCCACUGCCUAGCCUUUACCACUCUUCUGCUUUAGAACCAAUAUACAGUAUUGAUUUCAAGACGGAAAGUAAGGGUUUAAAAAAAUGAAUGAUAUGGAAAUAUGUUUUGUGUCAUAAUACAUGUAUAAUCCAGAAUGAAUUGCUUGCCAGCUCCAGGAAAGGGGAAGGAAGGAGGGAAAGAGACAAUUUGGAUCAUAUAACUUUGGAAAAACAUGUGAAAAUUUAUUACAAGUAAUUGGUUAAAAACAUUAAAUUAAAAAUAAAGACCCAAUUUCAUACUGGAAAAAUAAAUAAAUAAAGGACAUUUGUGGAAAAACAAACCAAAACAAAACGAUCCACACUCCCCUACCCAAUCCUAUUAUAUCACAAAAGCAGGCAUUUGUGAGGUGGCCAACCAGGACUGAGCAUUGUCUGAUGUCACAGAUUCAAGUUUUCCCAGCUGUUGGCAGCUAAACCAGGCCCAUGAGAAGAAGAUCAAACCUACGCCCUCUUUCUAACCAGCUCCAACUACCUGAGCUAGCCAGUCUGCUAUAUUCAGCCAAGAAAAGAAGUCUGAACUCACACAUCAAGGGACUGAGAGAGGAGGCCCCACUUCCCUGAAGAAAGCAAAGCUGGGAGCUCUACGUGCCUGCCUGGAUUACCCUUGGAACUCAGGGUUGCCAAGAGGUUAUUUGGGGUGCCAUGGAGAUGGUUCAAAGAAGGAUGAGAGAAGGCCAGGGGGGUUAAGGGUUCUAGCAGGGAUCCUCGCUCCUUCUUGCUCCUCUCUGCUUUCCUUACUCAAGUGAGCCUCAUGAAGCCCAGAAAACUUUUGAGCCCAAGGACAGCAUCUACAACAGCGAAACCACAGGCAGCCCAAUAAAUGUUUAUGUGUAUGCA